rnacentral:rRNA from 1 species
GACGUAGGGUGCAAGCGUUAUCCGGAAUUAUUGGGCGUAAAGGGCUCGUAGGCGGUUUGUCGCGUCGGGAGUGAAAUCCACUGGCUUAACUGGUGGCUUGCUUUCGAUACGGGCAGACUGGAGGUAUGCAGGGGAGAACGGAAUUCCUGGUGUAGCGGUGAAAUGCGCAGAUAUCGGAAGGAACACCAGUGGCGAAAGCGGCUUCCUGGUCCAGCACCGACGUUCAGGCACGAAAGCGUGGGGAGCAAACAGG